AGUAAUAUUGCAAUGGACUAACAUCCUGUCCAGAGGGAAAUAUACACACUACAAAAUCUGGGAAACUGGC